rnacentral:rRNA from 1 species
GCGGGACACGUGAAAUCCUGUCUGAACAUGGGGAGACCACUCUCCAAGCCUAAGUACUCGUGCAUGACCGAUAGCGAACAAGUACCGUGAGGGAAAGGUGAAAAGCACCCCGACAAGGGGAGUGAAAUAGAACCUGAAACCGGUUGCCUACAAGCAGUCGGAGGCCGCAAGGCUGACGGCGUACCUUUUGUAUAAUGGGUCAACGACUUAGUGUAACUAGCAAGCUUAAGCCGAUAGGUGUAGGCGCAGCGAAAGCGAGUCUGAAUAGGGCGAUUGAGUUAGUUGCAUUAGACCCGAAACCGAGUGAUCUAGCCAUGAGCAGGUUGAAGGUUGGGUAACACCAACUGGAGGACCGAACCCGCAUCUGUUGCAAUAGAUUGGGAUGACUUGUGGCUAGGGGUGAAAGGCCAAUCAAACUCGGAAAUAGCUGGUUCUCCGCGAAAACUAUUUAGGUAGUGCGUCGACCGAAUACCCUCGGGGGUAGAGCACUGGAUGGGCUAUGGGGACUCACCGUCUUACUGAUCCUAACCAAACUCCGAAUACCGAGGAGUACUAGUCGGCAGACACACGGCGGGUGCUAACGUCCGUCGUGAAGAGGGCAACAACCCUGACCUCCAGCUAAGGUCCCCAAGUCAUGGCUAAGUGGGAAAGGAUGUGAGGAUCCCAAAACAACCAGGAUGUUGGCUUAGAAGCAGCCAUCAUUUAAAGAAAGCGUAACAGCUCACUGGUCUAAAUAAGGGUCUUUGCGCCGAAAAUGUAACGGGGCUAAAGCCAUGCACCGAAGCUGAGGAUACGUCGCAAGACGUGUGGUAGCGGAGCGUUCCGUAAGCCUGUGAAGGGAGACCCGUGAGGGCUCCUGGAGGUAUCGGAAGUGCGAAUGUUGACAUGAGUAACGAUAAAGGGAGUGAGAGACUCCCUCGCCGAAAGACCAAGGGUUCCUGCUUAAAGUUAAUCUGAGCAGGGUUAGCCGGCCCCUAAGACGAGGCGGACACGCGUAGUCGAUGGGAACCACGUUAAUAUUCGUGGGCCUGGUGGUAGUGACGGAUUGCUCAACUUGUAAGGUCUUAUUGGAUUGAUCUUGCAGGGACGCGGUUCCAGGAAAUAGCUCCACCAUUAUAGACCGUACCCGAAACCGACACAGGUGGUCAGGUAGAGUAUACCAAGGCGCUUGAGAGAACUAUGCUGAAGGAACUCGGCAAAUUGCACGCGUAACUUCGGAAGAAGCGUGACCCCAAGCUACGCAAGUAUUUUGGGGUGGCACAGACCAGGGGGUAGCGACUGUUUAUCAAAAACACAGGGCUCUGCGAAGUCGCAAGACGACGUAUAGGGUCUGACGCCUGCCCGGUGCUGGAAGGUUAAGAGGAGAGGUGCAAGCUUUGAAUCGAAGCCCCAGUAAACGGCGGCCGUAACUAUAACGGUCCUAAGGUAGCGAAAUUCCUUGUCGGGUAAGUUCCGACCUGCACGAAUGGCGUAACGACUUCCCCGCUGUCUCCAGCAGAGACUCAGUGAAAUUGAAUUCCCCGUGAAGAUGCGGGGUUCCUGCGGUUAGACGGAAAGACCCCGUGCACCUUUACUAUAGCUUUACACUGGCAUUCGUGUCGGCAUGUGUAGGAUAGGUGGUAGGCUUUGAAGCAGGGACGCCAGUUUCUGUGGAGCCAUCCUUGAAAUACCACCCUUAUCGUCAUGGAUGUCUAACUGCGGCCCGUUAUCCGGGUCCAGGACCGUGUAUGGUGGGUAGUUUGACUGGGGCGGUCGCCUCCGAAAGAGUAACGGAGGCGCGCGAUGGUUAGCUCAGACCGGUCGGAAAUCGGUCGUCGAGUGCAAUGGCAUAAGCUAGCCUGACUGCGAGACUGACAAGUCGAGCAGAGACGAAAGUCGGUCAUAGUGAUCCGGUGGUCCCGCGUGGAAGGGCCAUCG